rfam:Schistosoma margrebowiei strain Zambia genome assembly, scaffold: SMRZ_scaffold0000586
AGCCUUCUGUAUUCGUGCUGAGAUUUCGUCACUCACCAGACCACAAGGGCUGAUGAGACUUCAAGAUAAGUGAAGCG